CCUCUCUCCUUCGCCAUUUGAAUAGUGACAUCAUUAUUCCAACGUCCUCUCACCUCUACCAGAAAAGACCUACUAGUGAUUCCCUCCUGGGUGCUCAGAAACGCCUGGGGAGGAAGUUGUGGUUUCAGCAAGGUGCAGGCAUCAUGAAACCGAGACAGAAGAACUGGCAGGGUGGAGAGUUACUCAAAGUUAAAACAAUAUAUGCUUAUUGUAGAAUAUUUAGAAAAUGAAAGCAGAAAAAUCCUACUCAUCAUUCCAUCCAGAGGCAACAAUGGUUAAUAAUUAGGCUUCUAUAGCUGAUCGCAGCAUUUUCAAGAGCAGGAGACCGGAGAACUCUUCCUGGAAACUUGGGUCUGAUGUUUCCCUGUUCCACCCAAAGCAGAGAUGAGGAAAUGAAACCUCCUACCUGUAAGGCCUCCAGUCGCAUGGGAGAUGGUUCAUAGGUACUUCCAGCCCCAGAGCCAGCAUCGCUACCUGAACAGGAAUCCUCCUUGGGCAGCACAACAGUAGAAAUGCAAAGGCGAAUGAGCCAGCAGGGCUCUGAAGACCCCUUAGAAUGUGAGCUUCAUGAAAGCACAGAUCCCAUUUGUCCUGUUCACUGAUGUAUCCCCGGUGCUAGCACAGAACCUGGGAUGUGGUAGGUGCUCCGCAAUACUUGUUGACAGAAUGAAUGAAUUUGCUAAUUAUUUAUUCGGGGCCCCCUAUUUUCCAUCUGUUGGUUGAUGUGAAAAUCAAAUGGGAUGUUUGUGAAAAUGCUUUGUAAACUAUAAAGUUCUAUAAAUCUUAGCACCCAAA